UCUCUCUCUCUCUCUCUCUCUCUACGCCUCUAAUCUCAACGCCUCUCUCUCUCUCUCUAUCUUUCUCUCUCUACACCUCUUUGGGGGAGGCGUCGAUCGCCGCGAACCCAAACCGCCGCCGCCGCCGAUUAAUCGCCGAUCCCCCCCGCCCCCGCCGCCGAUUAAUCGCCGUGUUCUCCUCCUCCUCCUCCUCCUCCUCCUCGUCCUCUAGAUCUCCCCCAAGGUAAGAGUGCGAAUUUCGCCUAGUGGGACUUCCAUGUGAGCAUGUGAUGGCAUUCUUUCGGAACUUGGACCGAAUGAACUCCGGGCAUGACCUGAACGAAAAGGCCGAUGAUAAUGGAGCUGAGGGAGCCUCCGGUUCUACAAGAGAUAGAGAUUUCGAUAUGAAUAUCGGUCACAAGGAUGUGGAUAUGAAUGAGGCAGACCCUUACAAUAGUGAGCAGGAACAGCUUGAUGGUAUUAGGCAGCAGAGUGAUACUUUUGGUGAGAAUGCAACUGAGAAGCCUUCUAAAAGAAUCGGUUCAACCGGAACAUGGGGUUCGAGUUUUUGGAAGGAUUGCCAGCCGAUGCCAGAUUCCAAAGAAACACAGAGUGACAGUGACAAAGGUAAUGGUGCCUUUGAGGAUAAUUCUGAUGAAGAUGUGGAUGGGCAUAAAGAUGAGGAAGCUUCAGAAAGAGAGCAGGUUGAUGUAACGGCAGAUGAGAUGCCAUCUGAUGACUAUUAUGAACAGGAAGGCGAAGAGCAAAGCGACUCACUGCACCGAAGUGGGCUGAGCCGCCCAAGCAGUUCUGGUUUGAGACUGCCGCCGAAGCCAGUAUCUGACAGGAAGAAAGCAUCAAAGAGUUCAAAAAGGGUAAAGUAUGAUGAAUACGAUGAUGAUGAGGAUUAUGCUGAAGGGGAUGACGAAGAAGAAGAUGAUCCAGAUGAUGCUGAUUUUGAGCCAGAUUAUAGUGACUCAGGAAAGGGUGCAAAGAAGGCUAAAACAUCGGAUAGUGAUGAUUUUGAUGAAGAUGACGAUGAUGACGAAGAGGAUCUUGAUCUCUCAGAUGAAGAUGAUUUUGAUGUUGUAGAGAAUAGGAGUGGAUCGGUGCAAAGAAAAGUUGGGCGAAAUCCAAAGACCAAGGAAAGAAAACCUUCUAAACUGCGAAAAAGAGCAAGGUCUUUGUCAGAUGAGGAAUAUUCAUCAGGAAAAGACUCAGAACAGCAUAGUGAUGUAGAUUCUUAUCAUAAACCAAAGAGAUUCACUCAGUUACGCAAGAAAAAUGGUGGCCGAACAGAUGUUCUUUCAAAUGUCAAUUCUCAUGGUAAUGAGCUUCGCACAUCUGGUAGGUCUGUAAGAAAGAUUUCAUAUGCUGAAAGUGAAGAAAGUGAGGAUUUCAGCGAAGGAAAAUCUAACAAGUCCCAGAAGGAGGACAUCGAGGAGGAUGAUGGAGACACAAUUGAGAGGGUACUUUGGCACCAGCGAAGGGGUACAGCUGAAGAGGCUAUGAAGAUUAACCAAUCCACUCUACCUAGUGUAUUGAGCAUUAUGUCAGACUCGGACCCUGAAUGGGAUGAAGUUGAAUUUUAUAUUAAAUGGAAAGGUCAAUCCUACCUCCACUGUCAUUGGAAGCCACUCUCCGAGCUCCAACAUCUUAGUGGAUUCAAAAAGGUUUCAAACUACAUGAAAAGAGUUACUGAUGAAAGAAGGUACAAGAAGGCUCUGUCACGUGAGGAGGCUGAAGUUCAUGAUGUUAGCAAGGAAAUGGAGUUAGAUCUUCUUAAGCAGUACAGCCAGGUGGAAAGAAUAUUUGCAGAUAGAAUUAGCAAAAUUGGUGGUGAUGAUGUGGUACCUGAAUAUCUGGUAAAGUGGCAAGGGCUUUCUUAUGCUGAAGCAACCUGGGAAAAGGAUACUGAUAUUGCAUUUGCUCAAGAUGCAAUAGAUGAACACAAAGCUCGUGAGGCUGCAACCACCGUACAAGGAAAGAUGGUUGAUUUCCAAAGGAAGAAAAGCAAAGCUAGUUUGCGUAAGCUUGAUGAACAGCCACAUUGGCUUAAAGGAGGAAAACUUCGUGAUUAUCAGCUCGAAGGUCUGAACUUUCUUGUAAACAGUUGGAGAAAUGAUACGAAUGUAAUCUUGGCUGAUGAAAUGGGUCUUGGUAAAACUGUUCAGUCAGUUUCAAUGCUGGGUUUCCUGCAGAAUGCUCAACAAAUUCAUGGGCCUUUUCUUGUCGUUGUACCGUUGUCGACGUUAUCCAAUUGGGCAAGAGAAUUCAAAAAGUGGCUUCCUGAAAUGAAUGUGGUAGUUUAUGUUGGAAAUCGUGCUAGCAGGGAGGUUUGUCAGCAAUAUGAAUUUUAUACAAACAAGAAAAGUGGCCGACAUAUAAAAUUUGAUACAUUGAUAACUACAUAUGAAGUGAUAUUGAAGGACAAAGCUGUACUAUCCAAGAUUAGGUGGAACUAUCUUAUGGUUGAUGAAGCUCACAGACUUAAGAAUUGUGAAGCAUCACUCUACACAAGCCUUUUGGAAUUCACUACGAAAAACAAGCUUCUUAUCACUGGAACCCCAUUGCAGAACAGUGUUGAGGAGCUAUGGGCCCUUCUUCAUUUCCUUGAUCCGGGUAAAUUUUCUAGCAAGGACGAUUUUGUUGAGAGAUACAAGAAUUUAAGUUCAUUUAAUGAAAUUGAGCUUGCUAAUCUUCACCAGGAAUUGCGGCCGCACAUCCUCCGAAGGGUCAUAAAAGAUGUUGAGAAGUCCUUGCCUCCAAAAAUUGAGCGGAUUCUUAGAGUUGAAAUGUCUCCUCUACAGAAACAGUAUUACAAAUGGAUUUUGGAACGUAAUUUUCACAAUCUGAACAAAGGAGUUCGUGGGAACCAGGUUUCACUCUUAAAUAUUGUUGUCGAGUUGAAGAAGUGCUGCAAUCAUCCUUUCUUGUUUGAAAGUGCAGAUCAUGGUUAUGGUGGAGAUAUUAGCACCACUGAUAGUAAUAAGGUUGAGCGCAUUGUUUUGAGCAGUGGGAAGCUAGUUAUACUUGACAAACUGUUGAUUAGGUUACGGGAGACAAAUCACCGUGUUCUUAUAUUCUCUCAGAUGGUAAGGAUGUUGGACAUCCUUGCAGAGUAUUUAUCACUUAGGGGAUUCCAGUUUCAGAGGCUUGAUGGCAGUACGAGAGCUGACCUUCGUCACCAGGCCAUGGAGCAUUUUAAUGCGCCGGGAAGCGAAGAUUUUUGUUUUCUCCUCUCUACACGUGCUGGCGGGCUAGGCAUCAAUCUUGCUACUGCUGAUACCGUGAUAAUUUUUGACUCGGAUUGGAAUCCUCAAAAUGAUUUGCAGGCAAUGAGUAGGGCGCAUAGGAUUGGACAGCAAGAAGUUGUUAACAUCUACCGAUUUGUCACUAGCAAGAGUGUUGAGGAGGAUAUCUUAGAGCGUGCUAAGAAAAAGAUGGUACUUGAUCACCUCGUUAUUCAGAAGCUAAAUGCUGAGGGCAGGCUUGAGAAGAAAGAAGCGAAGAAGGGUAGUUCUAUGUUUGACAAGAAUGAACUUUCAGCAAUAUUGAGGUUUGGAGCAGAGGAGUUGUUCAAGGAAGAAAAGAAUGAGGAGGAGACUAAGAAGCAACUCGAGAGUAUGGACAUUGAUGAGAUCCUUGAGAGGGCCGAAAAGGUCGAAACCAAGGGCGCUGAAGGGGAGCCAGGAAAUGAGCUGUUGAGUGCUUUCAAGGUUGCCAACUUUUGUAGUGCUGAAGAUGAUUCUACUUUUUGGAGUCGAUUGAUACAACCAGAAGCUGUAGAACAAGCUGAUGAGGAUUUAGCACCUCGCGCUGCUAGAAACAAUAAAAGCUAUGCUGAAAAAAUUCCAUCUGAAAAAGGCGCAAGUCGGAAAAAGAAAGCUGUUGAGUCCCGAGAAAAGGCUCAAAGGCGUUCCAGCAGAACUGCAGAUGCCCUUGCUUCCUUACCAGUAAUUGAAGGGGCUGCUGCUCAAGUAAGGGAAUGGUCUUUUGGGAACUUGUCAAAGAGAGAUGCUUCUCAAUUCGUUCGAGCGGUUAAGAGAUUUGGAAAUGCUAGCCAAAUUGGCUUAAUUGUCGAGGAGGUUGGUAGUGUAAUUCAGUCAGCUCCUUCAGAUGCCCAAAUCGAGCUAUUUGACUUGCUGAUUGAUGGUUGCCGAGAAGCUGUUGGACAAAAUCCAGACGUUAAGGGAACCGUCUUGGAUUUUUUUGGCGUUUCUGUGAAAGCAGCUGAACUAUUAUCUCGUGUUGAGGAGCUUCAACAUUUAGCUAAGCGCAUUGCACGGUACAAAGAUCCAGUUAGCCAGUUCCGUGUGGUAACACAGCAUAAAAGUCCGCAAUGGUCCAAAAGCUGUGGUUGGAAUUCAGUUGAUGAUGCAAGGUUGCUCCUUGGGAUACAUUAUCAUGGAUAUGGAAAUUGGGAAAAGAUAAGGUUGGAUCCUAGGCUUUGUCUCGGGAGGAAAAUUGCUCCGGCGACACUUGGCGAGAGAGAAACCUUUCUUCCUCGUGCGCCAAACUUGGAUAAUCGUGCGAGUGCUCUCCUGCAGAAGGAGUAUGUGAGCGCCAAUGGAAAGAGCUCUAAAGCUAAACGUUCUCGCAAGGCGGUUAAUGGUGAAGAAGAGAGCGGACCAAGAGUAACAAAUAGCCGACAAAAAGAUGUAAGCUUGAGAUCUGGCUUGCCUAAGAAUGAACCUAGGACAAACAAGGACCAGCUUCAGAAACGUCAUAGAGUGGAACCUGACGUCAAAGAGGAGGGCGAAAUAUCGGAUAGCGAUCCGGAGGUUAAGUAUCGGGAAAAGAAGGAAGAGAAGUGGAUGGAAUGGUGUGCUGAGGUAAUGGAGGCAGAGACGGAAACAUUAAAGCGCUUAGAAAGACUGCAAACUACAAGUGUAGACCUUCCAAGGGAAAAGGUUCUUUCUAGGAUAAGAAAGUAUCUCCAGCUUAUAGGGAGAAAGAUUGAUAUUAUUGUUCAGCAACACGGGGCAUCAUACGAGCGGUCCCGUAAGCACAAGCAGUUCCGUAUGACAAUGAGAUUGUGGAAUUAUGUCUCUACCCAUUCCAAUUUGACUGGAGAAAAGUUAUACGAGAUAUAUUCUAAACUCAAGGAGGAGCCAACAGAAACUGGAGUGGGACCUGCCCAUUUCAACAGUUAUGCACCAGGUUCAGCCAGCCGGGAUGGUGAUAUGAGCCAAUUUCCACCUUUUAACAAUGAUUCUGUCAGAAGGUCGAGACAUCAUCCGUACUCUUCUAUACCCAAUGAGCCAUAUCAGAAGAAUCAGAAUAGUGGUAAAUCGGAAGUAUGGAAACGCCGAAGGAGAGCAGAAGCAGAUAAUCUAUUCCAGGCUCAGCCUUCUUAUCAGCUGCCCAAUAUGAGUAAUGGAAGCCGAGCGCCGGAAUUAAGCAAUUCGGCAGGGAUUCUUGGUUCGGCUCCUUUAGAAAUGAGGCGGUUUGGCAAUGAAAGACCGAAUAGAGCACAUCCUGGUCGUUUCCCUCCAGGACAUGGGCAUUUGUCAUAGCACAAGAAGUCUCUCAGAAGUUCUUAAGCUUGUUUUAACAGCUGCUGCUGCUUUUGCAAGAAGUGGAAGCCUGUAGUCUUGCAUGGCUUGAAAAUUUUUUUCUCAAGCAAAUAAAGGUUUGGCGACCCCUCUUCAGAUCUUUAUGAUGAGGGAGGUGCAGCGGGCCCUGUCAUGAAGAUGAUGAGAAUGCAAUAGAUUCACAUAGAUUCUUCUGGCCGAAGUGCUACGAUGCUUCUUGUAGAACACAAAGAUAAAGAGUCUGCAAACAAUUUGCCAGAUGAGUUCGGUUAUCCGAAAUACAAGUGUUUUUAGUGUUGGCGAGGUCUUCAGAAAGUAGCUACACGCCAUCAACAUUGAAUAGAUACAUAACCGAGUUGGAUGGAGAUGGAGCAAUUUAGCCCGCUAUAUGUUGGAACAAAUGGAAAGCAAAACACAGCAAAAUACUUGCUUAGGGGGGAGGAGUCUGGCUAAAACCAGUUUGUUUCUUAAGUUUCGUGCUAUGUACUAGAGGAUGCAGCAGCAAGCAAACUCCCAACAAUCUACCUGCUGUACUGCUGAGGAAGCAUUUAUUGCAAAUAGAAG